rnacentral:pre_miRNA from 1 species
GUGGUGCAUGUGAGAGUUGGAGGGAAUUAAACCAAAGUAUUCCAUUAAGGCAUUAUGCCUCUAUUUUGGUUUAAUUUCCUCCAAUAUCUCACCUCCAAUUC